rnacentral:lncRNA from 1 species
GGGCAGGAGUGCAACCCACUGGGGCUCUCACCAAUCUAGGUUUGAACCCCAACCCCGGCUUCUCAGUCAACCUGGGCUAAUCAUUUAGCUUCUCUUUGCAGAAGAGAGAGAUAUUACAAGAUGCUUUAUGAUUGCUCCAUGAUGAAGACCAAUGUGUGAUCUGGCCCACUUACAGCAGAACUGUUAAAAACCAGGAUUCCUGAGCAAUACAACAGACCACCACAACCAAGAUAUAGGAGAUGGAUGAAGAAAUCUGCAUGUAACAAAUUCUCAGGGGAUUCCUAUGCACCCUCAAGAUUGAAAGUCACUGAGCAAAGUCCAAACUCUUUAAUCAGGCUUCAUGGCCUCUACAAUAUGCCUUUUGAGUCACAUUCCCACAAACUCUCUGCCUCCACAUCACUGGCUGACAUCUGGUCCCAGAAUACAGGUGAGCCACUGGGAUAAGAGCAGGCAUCACACACCUACCCUGACAGGGCCCCUACAAAGAACCACUAUGAUUGUUAUUUUGUGGUUGAAGAUACUGAGGUUUACAGAGGUCCAGUGACUUGGCCAACAUCACAGAGCAAGUGUGUGGCAGAGGUCAGAUUCAAAUCCACAUCAAUGGGAUUUCAAGAGUCCUCAUUCUUAACCACCCUGAUAUACCACACUUUAUGUUCCCUCAAAUGUCCUCAUACCUGUGUCCACUGCUCAGCUGUCCCCUCAGCCUCACAUGCUCAGGACACUCUAAUCUUUUGCAAACAUAGAAUGUAAAUAUCCUGCUGGACCCUUAAACUUUCACAAAUCCCACUAAAGAGUAUUUACUAUUCCCAGAUCCUGUGUACCAACAGCCUUUUGUCAAUAGCACCAUUUUUGACUGUUAAAAUGACCUUGCGAAUAUUUGUUUAUGUUCCAAUGUCCUUUACUAGCCUUUUUUUAAAAAAAUCCUAAAACGACAAAACAAAUUGCUAAGACACAGAAGGAUUUUAGGGCAGUAAAAUUUUUCUAUGUGAUCCUACAAUGGUGGAUACAUGUCAUUUCAUGCUUGUCCAAAGCCAUAGAAGGUACAACACAGGGAGUGAACCCUAGUAUCAACUAUGUCUUGAGUGAUAAUGAUGUGUCAGUGUGGGUUCAGUGCUUGUAACAAAUGUACCCCUCUGGUAGGGAUGCUGAUAGGAGGGGAGGCUGUGCAUGUGUGAGGCAAG